AUUGAACGCUGGCGGCGUGCCUAAUACAUGCAAGUCGAGCGAAAGGACGAAGAGCCUUCCUUCUUUACUUUCGCGGCGCGCACGGGUGUAAAAUGUCUGUGAACCAGCUUUAUGGCUGGGGAUAAUUCGUGAAAACGGUAGCUAAUACCGCAUAUCUUCUCAACACCAAGGAUCAAGACUGUAAGACCGCUUUCCAUCCACUUUUCCCUGAUUCCGUCAUGCAUUAGCUAGUAGGUGAGGUAACGGCUUACCCAGGCGACGAUGCAUAGCCGACCUGAGAGGGUGAUCAGCCACACUGGAACUGAGACACGGUCCAGACUCCUACGGGAGGCAGCAGUGGGGAAUCUUCCGCAAUGGGCGAAAGCCUGACGGAGCAACGCCGCGUGUGUGAAGAAGGUCUUCGGAUCGUAAAACUCUGUUAGUAGGGAGGAACAGAUUUAUGAGAAACUGUUCACUUCUUGACGUUACCUGAACAGGAAGCCACGGCUAACUACGUG
rnacentral:rRNA from 1 species